AAUAGCUUAAGUUCCCUUACAAUUUUGCCUUACAGGAGACAAUGAAGGAUUCGUCUAUUCAAUUGCUCCUUCCUGUAUUGAUGGACUCCAGGUUUACUCCUGCACAUCCACUACUGGGCACUAAGAUGUGGGGCCCCCUCCUCUGAAACAGGAUGUGCACACGUGGGCCACAGCCCUAAGGACUCCUGACGGACCACAUAGCCCACACCUGGCCCUGCUCAUGGCUGUUCCACCCACCCCUCCUUAUUCUGGAGCAUAUCAGGGAAAGAAGAGUUGAUGACAGAUUGCCUUCACCCUCGGCGCACAAAUAAAGCUACGAUGCCAACUUUGCAGAUGUAAUAAAUAAAUAAAUAAAGUAAGUAGAUGACUAGUUGCCUAGGGUUGGGGGAGGGGCAAUGGGGAAUGAUUGCCUAAUAGAUAUGGGGUUUCCUUUUGGCAUGAUGAAAACAUCCUAAAAUCAGAUAGUGGU
rnacentral:lncRNA from 1 species